rnacentral:lncRNA from 1 species
AGACAUCUGCGCAUAGUGAAAAUCAAUUCUCAGAGACCAAAAUUGCCAAGCAUACGUGACGGAACUGUAGGGAAAAAGGGCAUAACUUUAAUCUUCAAAGAAGCUUAAAAAUAGCUCCACAGUUAUUAUGCAUGAGGCCUGACAAUUGACAUUUCUCAUUUUGGCAGCAUUCACCUACAGCACCCUAUCAGCAACUGAACACAUUCAUCUCUGGAAUAAAUGAUUAAUGAGCUGCCUAUCAUUUCCACUCCUUUUGUACCAAGUGGUGGAGGCUUCAGUUGAUCAUAUUGCAGCCAUCAACAUCAUUACUGAAAUUGAUUCUGCCACUAGAGGGUUGUGCUAGGAUCAUCAAUUAGCAUUUAAAUUAAAAAGUUAUGGCAUUAAAAAUAACAAAAAAAUAAUCCCUUCUGAGUCACUCUGUCAGACCUGGUAAGGUGAUUUUGUUUUUUUGCUCAUCAGACAGCAUCACAAAACCUUAGAUUGAGGAAGGAAGCAUGGAAGGAUUGUUUUUGUUUCAAGAACAACCCUCUAAGAUUUCCAAACUUUUUAUUAAUCACUGUCAUGUUCCUUGAAAUGCAGAUUUAUGAAAUGCUACAAUUUGCAUUCAAUAGUGACCAAUGAAGUUGCCAAAUUAUUUCCUUCAGACAAAAAGUCAAAGGAUAGAGUUAGGCAUUUUUGAAAGGUCAGAAUUUAUCCAGAAAGGGGGAAGUUAGAGGAAGGAGAUUUACAAAUGAUACUGAGAUACAGCAAAAUAAAGUUUUUCUUAUAUUUCAGCAGGCAGAUGUGAGAAUGAAGUGAAAAGAACAUCAUCAUUUAGAUGUCGGGAUGAUGUGGGCUGCAUUUCUAAAACAGAUGGCAGAUAAUGUGGGUCUCCAUAGUCCUACAAAAAAGUGACAGAUUGUAGUUUUGGUAAAAUGAUACAUCAAGGAAAAUGAAUGGUACUUGGAAUAGGUAUUUUAGCAUCUCUUUCUGCUCCUGGGACCAAGUUCCUCAAGUUCUCAAUAUUACUGAGCUUAAACUCCUUCCUCAUCUAUGUUCAUCUUCCAGCAUGGCUUUCUCCUAUUUCCUCAUUGUUUCCUCUCUCUUCCCCUGUUGAAUUUCAAAUUCAAAUAUAAACAGUUGGUUUUGGUUUUAUCUGCCUCUGAAUUAAGACACUACCUUUACUACAUUGUAUUGGUCACCCAAUUGAAGUGCAUGUGCAUUUUCUUCAGAGCUGAGACGCAUUGAUUAUACAACAAAAUGGAGCUAUCAUAGGUCCUCAAUCCAGCUGCUCUGUCCUAUACUUGAUUAAUAUUCUUUCCACAAUCUGUUGGUAGUGGUAUUGUGACUUUUCAUUUCUGUCUUUGUGAAAUUUUAAGAAGAAGCUAACAAAGGCUGCUUUGAGGACUGCUAAGUAGAGGACAUUUUUACCUAACAUUGAUUAAUGUAGAUAGCUGAGACUUACUUGUAUUUUGAAAAAUGGGAAGAAAAUGGUCAUGGUAAGAAGCACUGGGUGAUAAGAAAAACACAUAGUAACAAGAUUUCUACAUGUGAGCCAAUAGCAAACUUCCUCUAUGUGUUAAAAUUCUCCAAUGAGAAAUACAGCAACUCGUUUCAGACACCAUGAGAUGGACAGGUUAGGCCAAGUUGUGCUUGACCUAGUGGUGAAUGACCACACACUUCUUUACCUUUGGCACAAGUGGUUCAUCAAUCUCCCACUUUCCCUCAGAUCCUUUUUCAGCGUAGUAUUCUAGGCACCAACUGCCAACUGGCCAGUGUUCACCUGUUUGUCAUUUUCAGCUUAACUACCAAUUUGGACAAUUGGAGAGGUAUUCGAACCGGAUGGUAAAGCUGAAAUUAGAUCUCAAGUCUCUUCACUGAAGUCUAGUACUCUUAUAUUUCAUAGACAAUGAACUGGACCAGAUGAAUUCUUCUGUUAGUAUGAUGUAUAUCAUAUGAACUUCCAAUAAUUUUAAAGCUAACUUUUUAUUAUAAAAAUGAUACAGGCUCAUGGUAAAGUCACUGUGGGAAACAGUAUGGUGUUUCUUCAAAAAAUUAAAAAUAAAAUUACCAGGCAGAUGUGGUGGCUCACACCUGUAAUCCCAGCACUUGGAGAGGCCAUGGUGGGAGGAUUGCUUGAGCCUAGGAGUUCAAGACCAGCCUGGGCAACACAGCGAGGUCCCAACUCUACAAAAACAAAUUCCAAAAAUUAGUUGGGCAUGGUGGAGCAUACCUGUAGUCUCGGCUGAAGCAGAAGGAUCACUUGAGCCCAGGAGUUCAAGGCUUCAACAAGCCAUGCUUGUGCCAAUGCACUCCAGCCUGCGUGAUAGAGUGAGACCCUGUCUCAAAAAAAAAGAAAAAAAAAGAAAGAAAAAGGAAUUACCAUAUGAUCCAGCAAUUGCACUUCUGGGUAUAUACUUAAAAUAAUUGAAAGCAAUCUUUUGAAAUGGUCUCAAAGAGUUAUUUGUGUACCAAUAUUUAUAGCAGCAUUAUUCACGAUAGUUAAAAUGUGAAAGCAACUCAAGUGUCCUGGACAGAUGAAUAAGGAAAAUGUGGUAUACAUAUUCAAAGCAAUAUUAUUCAGCCUUAUAAAGAAAGGAGCUGGAUAUGGUGGCUCACGCCUGAAAUCCCGACACUUUGGGUGGCUGAGGUAGGAGGAUUGCUUGAGGCUGGGAGUUCAAGAAGAGCCUGGGCAACAUGGUGAGAUCCCAUGUCUACACAAAAUACAAAACUGGGCCAGACAUGGUGGCACAUGCCUGUAGUCUUAGCUACUCGGGAGGCUGAGGUGGAAGGAUUGCUUGAACCUGAGAGGUGAAAGCUGCAGUGAGCUAUGAUCACACCACUGCAAUACAGCCUGAGUGACAGAUUAAGACCCUGACAAAAAAAAAAAAGGAAAUUCUGAUAUGCUGAAACAUGAAUAAAUUUUGAGGAUAUUAUGCUAAGCAAAAUAAUCUAACCAAAAAGACAAAUACUUUAUGAUUCCACCUGUAUAAGGUACUUAGAUUGGUCAAAAUCAUAGAAAGAGAAAAUAGAAAGGUGGUAGCCAGAGACUAGAGGGGAGGGAAUGGGGAGUUACUGUUUAAUGGAUACUGAGUUUCAGUUUUACACAAUGAAAUGAGUUUUGGAGAUGGAUGGUGGUGAUAGUUGCACAUAAUUAUGAAUGUAUUUAAUAUCAUUGAAUUGUAUGCUUAAAAAAGGUUAAGUUGGUAAAUUUUAUAUUAUACGUAUUUUGCCACAAUAAAAAAUUGGGAAAAAAUGCAGGCUUAUCACAAGAAAAAAAAAUUACAUAAAGUAUAAAGUGGAAGUAAAUAUCUUCUUAGCAGUUUGCCCCAUUAUCUUCCUGCUCUAUGUGUCACCUCCCUAAACGCCAACUCUCACUUUCUAGGAAAAGCUGCUUUAAAGUCUGUACACAUGUAAGGAAAUGUUCUUUACAUAAACCACAUCUGGCUGUGUUUGUCUGCGUUCAUCUUUGCCUCUCUCUCUUUGCCUGGAUAAGAUCAUACUGCAUAAACUCUCCUCUAAUGGUUUUUUCCUAUCUAAAAUAUGUAUUUUGAAGAGUUUCCCUUAUUAGCCUAUAUAUAUCUAAUUUUUAAAAACUGACUGAAUGGUGUGUGAUUAGAUGUCUAUAUCUCCCAUUGAUAGAAAUGUAGGGUAUUUCCAUUCGUUUUUACAAAUGAUACUGCAGUGAGCAUCUUUGAGUAUAAAUCUUUGGGUACUUGUGAGUGAGUUAAUUUCUCAGAUAAAUUAGGUGGAAUUAUGAGCCAAAAGUUAUGUGUAUUUUACAUUUUGAUAGAUAUUGACAAAUAGCCCUCCAAAAGUUGAACUAAUUAUCUCCCUAUAAACUAAACAGCAUAGGAAAGUGCCUGUUUUCCCAACACCUUCAACGCUAAGCAUUAUAAAAUUUCUACUUAUAGCCAUGUAGUAGAUGAAAAUAUUGAAAAUAUUUUAAUUUACAUAUAUUCAAUUCUGAAUGAGGUUAAACAUAGAUUUUAUAUGACUAUUCACUGUUUGUAUUUAUUUACAAUGCACUGCUUGUUCAUUUCCAUGCUCAAUUUUAAUGGUGUUUACUUUGAGGAAAAAAAAACACCUAUAUGGAAAAGCCCUGAAUUAUAUGUAAUUCCCUCUUUCUACACCUUUUCUGCUAUAAUUUGAAAGUUAGCUUUGGUCAGUUUUUUCACUGUCACUGUUUCUUUCCUCCCUCUCCUCCCUCUCCUCCCUUCCUCCCUUCCUCCUUUCCUUUCUUCCUUCCUUCCUUGACAGGGUCUUGCUAUAUUGCCCAGGCUGGAGUGCAGUGGCUAUUCACAGGUGUGAUCCUAGUGCACUACAGCUUUGAACUCCUGUCUCAGCCUCCUUAGCCGCUGGGAGUACAGGUGCAUGCCACUGCACCCAGUGCCUUGUUUCUUUUAUGAUAAUCAUUUCUCUUUCAAUGUUUAACCAGAUUCUCCACACCUUGACAGCAAUUAGGGUGAGGAGGACUAAUAGUACUGCCAAAGGCCCCUGAUGGUCUUGUUUCAGAGAUAAUUUUUGUUACAACAUUGCUUAGCCCAUUAUGCUUUAUAAUCUUCUUGUCAGUAACUGUGUGUCCUUGGUAUUCAUCUUGUUUCUCAGUCAUUUCUACUAUAGAAAGAAUCAUAUUUUCGAGAAUAACAAAAUGUCUGAUACCCUGUUUUCAGGAUACCUUCAUAUACUAACAGACCAAAGUGACUGGACUUGGCCAAUUCAGUUACAAUGAAUCCUAUUGAAAAAUGAACCUGGUUUACCUGAGGGCUAACCAUUCAGGAACAACUGUUUAUCAUGAAGACUUUUUAGUUUAAUUUUCAAAUAGGAAAUGUAUUCACGUGUGUAUUAGGUUCUCCAGAGAAGCAGAACCAGUAGGAUACACACACACACACACACACACACGGGGAUUAUGGGAACUGACUUCAUGACUAUAGAGGCUGAGAAGUCCCAGGAUGCGCCAUCUGCAAGCUGAAGAAUGAGGACAGCCAGUGGUGCAAUUCAGUCCAAUUCCGAGGUCCUGAGAACCAGGGUAGCCAAUGAUAUAUCUCUCAGCUGAAGGCAUGAGAACAUGUGUGUGUGCGUGUGUCUGUGUCUGUGUGUGCGUUGGGGGGUGCAAGUCCUGGAGUCCAAAGGUCCAAGAACCAAGAGCUUUGAUGUCCAAAAACAGGAGAAGAUGGAUGUUCAGGCUCAAGAAUAGAAAAAUUCAUUCUUCAUCCACCUUUCUGUUUUAUCCUGGCACUCAAUAGACUGGAUGAUGUCCACUCACAUAGGUGAGGCUGGAUUAUCUUUACUCAGUCUACUGAUUCAAAUGUGAAUCUCUUCUGGAAACAUCCUCACAGACACACCCAGAAAUAAUGUCUUACCAACUAUCUGGGCAUCCGUUAGCCCAGCCAGGUUGACACAUACAAUUAACCACCACAACGUGGCUCAAAAGUCAAGAAGUAUAAAGAAAACAAAGUGAAAAGGUUUUUUUUUCAUCCCCAUCCAUUAUCUUCCAGUUUCCCCACCCUAUCCUCAUGGAGUUUGUAGUAUAUUGAACAGGUAGACCACCAAGAAAUUAUAAUAAGGUACAUUCAGUCUUCUCAUUAUCAGUAAUUUUUUACUACGUUUCUGGGUUCUGGGAGGAGGGUGUUACAGAAUGCUGAGCUGGGAAGCUUCAAUCAUGAGAUUUUAAUAUUUAUCAAUGAAGGGUUUAAAAAGAUGGAGAAUGAGUUAAAGGAAUUAACUGCCACAGAGAAAAAUAAAGUGGUCCCUUGUCCUACAUCUUGGAAUCUCUAUUGCGAUAAUUGCUAUGUGUGUGGCAACUUCCUGGAGGUUACUUAUUAAAAAUGUACCCUGAAGUAAUUCAUAUGUGUCAUGCUAAUGCCCUGUCCACUUCUUACUAAAAUGUAUGGGUUAAAAUUAACAGUAAUACUUUUGUCUGGAUACUGAAUCCAACUAAGUAGAAAUUACUCAUUUCUAAGUUGUAAUGUAUUGUAUAUAAAUGUAACAUUGUUAUAAUACAAUUAUAUGUAUACAAUGUAAAAAUGUAAUAUAUUGUGUAUAUGUACAAAUGUACAUUUGUUGUGAAAUAUUGUGCAAUAUAAUUGUAAUAUUUUCAAGCCCUAUAUGAAAAAGCUGUUAUUUGCAUGACUGUAUCCUAUGAAUAGUUAUGGAAAUGAAUAAAUAAGCUUUUUAGAAACAGUUUACAGAGUCAUAAACACUUAAAUAUUUGC